rnacentral:ncRNA from 1 species
UUCUUAUCAAGAGAGACGGAGGGAAUUGGCCCGAUGAUGUCUCAGCAACCAGUCUGAGAAAGACACGGUGCUAAAUCCAAAAGGUAUCCGCCUUAAAGAUAAGAA